GAUGAACGCUAGCGGCAGGCUUAACACAUGCAAGUCGAGGGGUAACAGAGGUAGCUUGCUACUUGCUGACGACCGGCGCACGGGUGCGUAACGCGUAUACAAUCUACCUUGUACAGGGGAAUAGCCCAGAGAAAUUUGGAUUAAUGCCCCAUAGUAUCGUUGACUGGCAUCUUUUAACGAUUAAAACUCCGGUGGUACAAGAUGAGUAUGCGUUCUAUUAGCUAGAUGGUAAGGUAACGGCUUACCAUGGCUACGAUAGAUAGGGGUCCUGAGAGGGAGAUCCCCCACACUGGUACUGAGACACGGACCAG
rnacentral:rRNA from 1 species